UACGUAGGAGGCAAGCGUUGUCCGGAUUUAUUGGGCGUAAAGAGCGCGUAGGUGGUGAUACAAGUUGGAUGUUAAAUCUCCCGGCUUAACUGGGAAAAGUCAUUCAAUACUGUAUCGCUGGAGGGCAGUAGAGGAAAGCGGAAUUCCCGGUGUAGCGGUGAAAUGCGUAGAGAUCGGGAGGAACACCUGUGGCGAAAGCGGCCACCUGGCCUGUACCUGACGCUGAGACACGAAAGCUAGGGGAGCGAAC
rnacentral:rRNA from 1 species